GAUGAAGAACGCAGCGAAAUGCGAUAACUAAUGUGAAUUGCAGAAUUCCGUGAAUCAUCGAGUCUUUGAACGCACAUUGCGCCCCCUGGUAUUCCGGGGGGCAUGCCUGUCCGAGCGUCAUUACAACCCUCAAGCCCGGCUUGUGUAAUGGGCGGCCGUCUCUCCCCCCGGGGGGAGACGCCCCCGAAACUCAGUGGGGAUGUCGCGAUACCGAAGCCUCAGCUAAUGGGUAAACCACAGCUGCAAUGGCCGCGGCCGGCGUCCGCCUUCCACGGUCCGUCCGCCUAGCGCGGGCGGCCUUCUUAAGGUUGACCUCGGAUCAGGUAGGGAUACCCGCUGAACUUAAGCAUAUCAAUAAGCGGAGGA
rnacentral:misc_RNA from 1 species